rnacentral:rRNA from 1 species
CCUACGGGAGGCAGCAGUGGGGAAUUUUGGACAAUGGGCGAAAGCCUGAUCCAGCAAUGCCGCGUGAGUGAAGAAGGCCUUCGGGUUGUAAGGCUCUUUUGUCAGGGAAGAAACGGUGAGGGCUAAUAUCCCUUGCUAAUGACGGUACCUGAAGAAUAAGCACCGGCUAACUACGUGCCAGCAGCCGCGGUAAUACGUAGGGUGCAAGCGUUAAUCGGAAUUACUGGGCGUAAAGCGUGCGCAGGCGGUUUUGUAAGUCUGUCGUGAAAUCCCCGGGCUCAACCUGGGAAUUGCGAUGGAGACUGCAAGGCUAGAAUCUGGCAGAGGGGGGUAGAAUUCCACGUGUAGCAGUGAAAUGCGUAGAGAUGUGGAGGAACACCGAUGGCGAAGGCAGCCCCCUGGGUCAAGAUUGACGCUCAUGCACGAAAGCGUGGGGAGCAAACAGGAUUAGAUACCCUGGUAGUCCACGCCCUAAACGAUGUCUACUAGUUGUCGGGUUUUAAUUAACUUGGUAACGCAGCUAACGCGUGAAGUAGACCGCCUGGGGAGUACGGUCGCAAGAUUAAAACNCAAAUGAAAUUGACGG